UACAGAGGUCCCAAGCGUUGUUCGGAUUCAUUGGGCGUAAAGGGUGCGUAGGCGGCGCGCUAAGUCGGGUGUGAAAUUUCGGAGCUUAACUCCGAAACUGCAUUCGAUACUGCCGUGCUUGAGGACUGGAGAGGAGACUGGAAUUUACGGUGUAGCGGUGAAAUGCGUAGAUAUCGUAAGGAAGACCAGUGGCGAAGGCGGGUCUCUGGACAGUUCCUGACGCUGAGGCACGAAGGCCAGGGGAGCAAACGGG
rnacentral:rRNA from 1 species